CCUACGGGUGGCAGCAGUGGGGAAUAUUGGACAAUGGGCGAAAGCCUGAUCCAGCCAUGCCGCGUGUGUGAAGAAGGCCUUCGGGUUGUAAAGCACUUUCAGUGGGGAAGAAAGCCUUGGGGCUAAUACCCUCGAGGAAGGACAUCACCCACAGAAGAAGCACCGGCUAACUCCGUGCCAGCAGCCGCGGUAAUACGGAGGGUGCGAGCGUUAAUCGGAAUUACUGGGCGUAAAGCGCGCGUAGGCGGUCUGAUAAGCCGGUUGUGAAAGCCCCGGGCUCAACCUGGGAACGGCAUCCGGAACUGUCAGGCUAGAGUGCAGGAGAGGAAGGUAGAAUUCCCGGUGUAGCGGUGAAAUGCGUAGAGAUCGGGAGGAAUACCAGUGGCGAAGGCGGCCUUCUGGACUUACACUGACGCUGAGGUGCGAAAGCGUGGGUAGCAAACAGGAUUAGAUACCCCAGUAGUC
rnacentral:rRNA from 1 species